GUAGUCGUGGCCGAGUGGUUAAGGCGAUGGACUUGAAAUCCACGGUGAUCUUCCCGCGCAGGUUCGAAUCCCGCCGACUACG